UGAUCCCUUCCCGCCCAGCUCUGCCCACGAGUUCCAAGCUGCUGGAUGGGGUGGAGAACAAAGGAACGCAAGGUGGCUCUGUGGAGUCUUGGCAGACGGCGGAAACCACUGAGCUAAAUCCCCGGCUGAGGCUCUAUUUUUCCACCUGUAAAGUGGGACUAUUUUUGAUGGAAAGCUGGCGAACAACAGAAAAGUAGAGUGACGCGGGAACAGGAUGCUGGCGUGUCCCUGUGGCUCAGUGACUCCUAUGCCUGACCCCACCCCGAGUACCCUGCCCACCUGCUCGGCCUUCAGAGUGAGCUCGAUGAAGAUCUGCUGCAGCUUUUCAUUGACGAAGUUGAUGCAGAAUUGCUCAAAGCCGUUUUUCUGCCAAGGGAGGAAAGGUCCCGCACCAGCCCUUCCCCGGACUGAGGGAGCCGCCCGGAGGCUGCCUGGCAGCCAGUGCUCACCAGGGUCUCAUUGAAGUCUCGCUGGUCGUCGGUGCCGUCCACCUUCAAGAAAUUGGAGAUCUUGCCCCCGUCUGGCUCCCCGCCUCGGCUGAACUGGAUCUCAAAGUACUUGCCCUGCACGCCAGAGCAUCGCAUCAGCCCCCCAGGGCCCCGGGCUGCAGGUGGGCAAGGCUUAGGGCUGGGUAUGGGCCUUGAGCAGCCAUUCUCUCUUCAGCAUCUGCUCACUGACUGCUUGCCCUGUCACCAGCUCCUUCCCUUGGGCCUCAGCUCAGGCUGUGCCCUGGGCCCCCAGUGCCCACCCUUUCCAUCCCUUCUGAUUCUCCAAGUUCUCACUCAAGGCAUCCAGGCCUGUGUACAUCACUCUUUUGGUUUUUUUUGAGACAGGGUCUCAGUGUGUAGCCCAGGCUGGCCUUGAACUCACAAUCCUCCUGCCUCAGCCUCCCAAGUGCUGGGAUUAUAGGAGUGGACCCCCAUGCCUGGCAUGUUCAUCACAUUUUUUUUUUUUGGUACUGGGGAUCAAACUCAGGCCUUUGUGCUUGUGAAGCAGGUGCGGAACCACUGAGCUAAAUCCCCAGCCCAUGUUCAUCACAUUUUAUUGAUCACUUCCCAGGUCCUCCACCAUAACUCAGAGACCUUCACGUCUCUAUGGGAUGCUAUGGAUCCUAAUGGUCCUUGGGAGUUUCCCCUUCGUUCUCCCUGAGGCCGGCCAAGUGCCCCAGGGGCCCCUUCUUUGAACUCUAACAUCGUCUGGGUUCUGCCCCGGCCAGAGGUUAGAGGGCAGCAAAGUCCUCUUACUUCUCCUUUCUACCACUUUUUUUUUUUUUUUUUUUUUGGUACCAGGGAUCGAACUCAGGUCCUUGCACUUGCGCAGCAGGCGGCGAAACCACUGAGCUAAAUCCCCGGCCCUCCUUUCUACCACUUUUACCUACCUCCAUCCAGUAAUGAUACAAAUCACGUCAUCAUCCCUUACAAGUAAACACCAUAACAUAUAGCUACUUAUUCUACUGCACACUGAAAUUCCAUAACAAAGUGUAUAUGUGUUUCGAGGAUCAUCUUUGUUUUCGUGUGUAUUGAUAGUUUGAAAGCAAAUACUGUGUGGUUCCAUUCACAUGAAGUUCUAGAACAGGUAAAACUAGUAUAGUAUGUGGCAAAAAAUAAACCAGAAGAGCAGUUACUUCUGGGGUCAGUUGACAGUAGAGAUUAACUGGAAAGGGACAAGAGAGAACCUGUGGCGAUGCUCUGUAUACUGACAGGGGUCUGGGAUACACAGGUGUAUGUUUGUCCAGACGCAGAAGCUGCAAAUUUAUAUUGGACAAUAAUGAUUCACAUGCUGACUUUUUCUGGGGGGGAACAGGUAGUUGCUUUGCAGUGUAUCCAAAAAUAAAGUGGUCCCCAUAAAUAUGUUAAAUUAUGAUAUGUCAAUAAAAUAAUAUCAGUGGAUGGAAAUAUGUGCAGCAAGGAAAGGUUGAGUCUCUUGCCAAAAUGCUUGAGAUCAGAAGUGUUUCAUAUUUUAGAUUUUGAAAGAUUUGCAUCCACAUAAUGAGACAUCCUGGGAAUUGUCUCAACAUGGAAUUCCCUUAUAUUUCAUAUACAAUUUAUAUGUAAGAUCUGAGGGUAAUUUCAUGCACUAUUUUUGUUUGUUUGUUUUUGGUACCAGGGAUCGAACUCAGGACUUUACGCAAGGCAGGCAUGGUACCACUGAGCUAAAUCGCUGGCCCCAAAAGCUUUUGAAUUGUGGAGAAAUUCAGAUUUGCAGAUUAGGUGUGCUCAACCUGUAUAGUAAAAUAUUGAUAAGAGUCUAAGAGAUGAGCACACAGGUGUUCCCUGUGAUACUCUUUCAAUUUUUAUGUGUAUUUGAAAAAAUAUAAUACAACAGGACAAAUAUUUAAAAUGUAAUUGUAUGAAAAAUAGAUUUGAAAUAAUAUAAGAAUAUUUAGCGAAAUAAAACCCUUAUUAAUGAAUGGAAUUGGUCAGGCCAUUUCUAUAUACAGAGAUUGUAGUGAAAUUACUGAGGUCUAUGAGAUGGAUAUUAACACCAACUCCAUUUUAUGAAUGAGAAAAUAGAGGACAGGAGAUCACAUCAUUUUUUUUUCAUCUAGACUACACAGCUAAAUAGUGCCAGAAUUGGGUCUUAAUCCAGAUCUGCUUCCCUAUUCUGUCUUCCACUGGGCCAAGCAUAGCACCACACACACACACACACACACACACACGCAAACACGCACACACUACUUCCCAAAAAUUAUUUGUUGAAAGAAAGAAUGAAUGAGGGAAUAAACUGGACCUGAAAUGUGAAAGGGAACCUAGGUGGCAUGGUUGCAGCUAGGGGAAUAUUUAUGAAUGUUACACAGAUGUGUCAUGGCUGCUUCCUUCCAAUGGGGGACCUUUUUUCAAAUGGACCAUGAACAGAAAGUGAAUCUCCCAUCCAGAAGUAGGUGUUUCCUGCUGGAUUUCCCCAGGGCUCUGGUUCUGGGAAUACAGUGUGUGUGUGUGUGUGUGUGUGUGUGUGUGUGUAGCUGGGG